rnacentral:piRNA from 1 species
UGCCCCACAACAAGGCCAGAAGUCCUAGCAU